UUCAAUAAAAAUGUUAUGUCAAAAAAGGUCCCUAUGUGAAAAUGUAUAAGAAUUUUAGCUAUUCCUUUCUUAAUAUUUUGACCAAGUUCACCUCAUUUUGAUGAGCAAAGUCAAAUGGGUAGAAAGAGAAUGAAAAAUAGAGACAGAAAAUAAGGGGCAUUUAGCAGAAGUAGGAUGAAAGAGGGAAGAAGGGAAGAAAAAAGAAGGAAGGAAGGAAGAAUGGAAGAGGUUAAGGAAGGAAGGAGGGAAGGCAGGAUAAAAAUGAAAAAACAGAUUUUAAAUUGGAAAGAAAAAUGAACACGAUUCAAUGAAUUCUUUUCUGUCUAGCAGUGAAAUAGCAGUUCUCUUGUUAAAUAAGAAGCAACAGAAAGGACCCCCAAGUCAUGGUCAUUGUGGGAUUUCUCAGGGGACCCCCUGAUCUCCUUCAUCAGUCAAGCACCAAGUGUGAAUUAGGACCGAUAUCCUUUCUAAGUAUGAAUCACACCACAGUCCCUCUGUUUUCAUCAGCUUUAUUUACCUUUUUAAAUCUAAACUUGUCCUGGGAAUUUUUAUCAAUGUUUUUACCAGUGGCGUGCUCCCUCAGGUGUAGCCAGAAUUUGUUUGCGGCCUGGAGAGCAUGGGGGAAAUCCAGUCUCACAUUAAUCCAGAAAUGAUCAGGAGAAGCCUCCACGUCACUGACAGCCACUGAUCUCUCAGUGGACCCCCUGAUCUCGUUCUACAGUUGAGCGGCAAGUGUCAAUGAGGAUCAGUGUCUUCUAUCUCAUUCACUAGUGGAGCACCAAGUUGAAAGCAACUCUCUCAUUAAAUAUAACAGAAAUGAAAGUAUCACCAAGUCUUUGUCAAUCUUGUAUAAUCUCAGUGGACCCCCCUGAUCUCAUUCACCAAUUGAGCAACAAGUGUGAAUAAGGAAGGACCAAGAUCAUCCAUCUCUUCCAUCAAUGUCAAUAAGGACCAAUAUCUUUCCUGGAAGAAUGUACUUCUCAUGUUAAUUAAAAGGAACAGAAAGAAGCUCUAAGUCAUUGUCAACCUCAGAUUUCUCAGUGGAUCCCCUGGGGAGUAGGAAAGAUGGCCCCCUGCUGAGUAUCAAAGGUGGUCCUUGGAUCUCCACCAGUUGAGCACCAAGUCUCAAUAAGGACCACAAUUGUCCAAUUUUUCAGGCAAAAAGAUUUCAUCAGUGGAAGAAGUUCAAGAAGCUCUUACCUAUACAACGCGGAAGCAUUUUGUCCAAGUCCUUUAUGAUCCUGCAGCAGUUUCCUCCACUCGUUCUGAUUUUCAGACCCGCUUGACUGCAUACUCAGUGUAGUGCUGAAGAUACGAAGAGACGGUGAUAGAAAAAAGAAAAAGGGGGGAGGGAGAGAGAGAGAACAGCGCUCGGGACUCAGUGAAUUCACACAACUUGUCCGGGGGAAUUUCAGUCUCGAGCCAGUGACAGAACACGCGGAAGGGUCAGCCAAGUCACUGCCAGCCUGGCAUUGUCAGUGGACCCCCUGGUGAGUGGGAAAGGCGGCCUUGGGCCAGAAUGCUGAAAAGGGCCCAUUUUUUUCUAAAAUGACUGAAGAGGAUGGAUUCUGGGCUUUCUGAGUCAAUGGGCUUGACUUCUAUCUGCCAAAUACCGGUUGCUCCUGAGGGCUCAGUGGCCCUGCUAGAGUGUUCUAGAACACGUUCAUGGACUGGUCACAGGAAGGGUGAUGAUAGUUAGCUGCCUUCAGCAUAGGUCAAAGGGUGCCUGUCUUCCCUGGCUUCCUUCAAGUCCUUGCUAAAAUCUGAAUUUCUACAGGAAACUCCAGCAGAGUAC